UUUCAGAGAACUUCCGUCGACUUGAUCUAACAAGAAUUAAAACUAGGUAAGGGUUUGAUAAACAGAUGAUUAAUUUAUUCAAAUUUAAGGGUAAGUAUAUGUUAGAGGCUCAUGGUGAGAAAAGGAAUAUCGAUUGUAAAUAUGUACAAUUGAAGAACAGCCCUAUAUGGAUUAAGUUGGAGUAAUAGAUCUUGAAGGAUUGAUGGGGCAUUGCUUUCAAUUUAGCAUUAAACGACUCUUCGACACUUUCUUAUUGUGUUGAUCACGAGAGGCAAAAGUAUAUACGGGUUUCGCUUGUGAAGCUUGAAACCACUACCCCCGUAAUUGAAAUGCAAGUGUCACUACACAUAAUCACCUUCCCUUGUCAAACGUCUUGUUAUUUCCUACAUCAUUUCCUCUUUUUCUUAUGCCAUGAUCUGUAUGACACUACAUUUAAGAACCAUUUAGCUAACAUAGCCUAAAGGGUAUGUUUGAUCAAUUCUUAUCACUUGGCAUGGCUUUUUCAGUUUGUUUUUGACUUUUGAGUUUUGAUAUCUUAAGGUCGCUCUUUUGGCGUCAAUUGCUCGUUUUCUCUUACACAAAUUUUCUUUAAAAAUUAAUUUACUGGACCAAUUAAAACUUUGCCACAAUCAUCAUUGGAGUAUCAAGGAUAAAAAAAAACUGUACAGAAAUGUUCAGAAUUUACUUGAUGUGACCAUUUUUAAUUAGAUUUUCAAAGGAUUUGAUGGUGUAUAGCUUCCAAACAGUGUUUGCUUUGACUUUUCUUUUUGAGACAUGAUAUUUUCAGUGACUUAAUUGUAAGGUCAAGUUCAAUUUUCACGACUUUCCGUUGUUCAGUUAUUGACCCUUUAUGUAGCUAAAAGUGUUACUUAUUAUGGGAUCGGGUUAUUUUCCUUGAACAGAAUUAAUAAGCUACUGUAUAGAUACCAUACCAAUGAUUGCAUCUGUUCAAAAACUUGUUCAAGAGAUGUCAAAAAUAUUUUUUGUCAGUUGUUUUGUUGUAUUUUAUUUUUGUUGUGUGUGUUAAUGUUAACGUUUACUUGAUCCUCACCUGUUUGGGAUCAAGAUUUGCAAAUACCAUUUUCAUAAGCUAAUAAUCUAUUCUUAAUAGAUAAAUAUCAUUACAUUACAUUGUGUUGACAUUAAUAGAUAAAUAAGUUGCAGAUUUAUAUUAGUUUGUAACAAAUGAAAAAAGGGAACUAAAACUACUAGUGCAUUUGACUAUAAUUUGAAAAUAGAUAUAGCAUUAUCAUGAUCAUAUCUAAUUUUGGUGAACUAUUUGUAAGUGGUUAAAUCAUAUCUAAUGUUAUUAUAACAGUUAUAGGUUAACAUUACUGGUUCAUGGAAUUAAGUUUAAGUUAUUCCCCUUUGAACAUUUGAACAGAAAUGGUUCAUUAAUUAGUAUUUGAUCAAAAUUUAAUUCUGGGGAUACUAUGACAUGCUGAUUUUAGAUAAUUUCAAUCGCUGUGUUAAGCUUAAAUGUUGUGUCCAUACUUGCUCAACUGUUCAAGGUUCGUCAUCUGAAGGAAAUUCCGGUUUGCUGUCACUCUUGACAGCCUCUUGAUAUCAUUUAUAUGUUUGUAUUACUUUGAAAACUAUGAUAGAUAGAUAAACUGGUUUUGGAAAAAAGCUCUACAAAAACGAUCCAAAUCGUCUGAUGUCUCAAUUUAGGAAUAUUUAUUCUCAAAUUAAGACUUUUGACAUAUUUUGUGUUUUCAACUAGUACUUGAAGUUAUAAUAGGUAAAAAAGACUCUGAACGGCUCAAAUGAUCAGCAACACAAAAUCAAAAUCAAAUAUAUUUUAUUGUCAAUUAAUGACGCCCAUUACAGGCAGAAUAAUCACAAGUUAAAUUUGGUACAAAUGAUUACAAUGAUUUGAAUACAAUUACUACACAAGAUCUAUAAUUGAUUUAGUCAAUAUGAAUGCAAUUGUCAAUCAAACUCUUAGAGUAGUGUUUUCUUAAAAAUCCCAGUUUUGAUUCAUUUUUCAGUUAUGCUUAUUAUUGUGAAGACUAAUCCAUAGACAGAAACUCAGUCUAUCAAAAAAGAUUUGCAUUACAAGAUUUACGGCCAUACAGUUUUGUUUCUCAACAAAUAGCUCUUGUUGUAUUGUAUUAAUUUCAUAUAAAAACAUCAGGUGAACGAUACAUGCUUAUUAACGUCUCUAGUUUUAUGGUCUAACAACGAAAGCUUCAGAAGUGAAACACUGGGAUUACUUUUUGAUGUCGAGAGCGUAAACUUUUUUUCAUAAUACUCGAUAUUUCUGCUGAUGAAAGAUCUGUUUGCUUCAUAUCUUGUAUACAUAUAUCUGAUGUCACUAAUUUUCGGUCUUGCAUGUGUUCAUUGUCCCUGACUUCUUUUUUUUUUGAAAGCUUUUUCGUCUUAUAUCUAACAUAUAUUUUUUAACUUAAUUUUGUCUUUUUUAACGUUAAUUUGUUUAUCCAUAUGUUUUUAAUUUAUAACAUAUUUUUGCCGAACAUCCUUUUUCUAGGUAGAACUUUUAAAUCAACACGUUUCAAGAAUCAUGAAUGAAAGUUCAAAAUAAAACAGGUCCGACGAGUCUGUGAAUUCAUAUAUACUUAAAUCUUUGCAGAAUAAUGGCAAGUAACUGGAAUGUUUGUGGAGUCUGUGAUUAUCGCCACAUUACCAAAUCAUCAAUUGUCUGGUGUGCAGAAUGCGACGAAGGGCUGUGUGAAGAAUGUAAAGAUCAUCAUAGUAUUUCAAAAGGAUCUAGAAAUCAUGACACUGUUUCUAUUAUUGAGUACCAGAAACUGCCAAACAAAGUUUUACAAUUGGCACGUUCUUGUGAUAGGCACAAUGAGAAAUACGUGCUGUUCUGUAGGAAGCAUGAUUGUCCAUGCUGCAAGAAAUGUGUAGUUGGUACACACAUGGAAUGUAAAGAAUUGAUAGAUAUCGAUGAUAUAACACGAAAUAUCAAAUCUUCAAAUGCUUUUGGAGACAUCGAACAUACUUUGUUAGAAAUUGCAGAGACUAUCAAAAGACUUCGGAUCGACCGGGAAGACAAUUUGGUGUCAAUCGGGAAAAAGAGUAGGGAAAUUCAAAAAGAGGUUAAAGAAACUCGUGCCAGGAUCAAUCUUCAUCUGGAUAAACUUCAGGAUGCCAUAUUGAAAGAUCUGAAAACGAGGGAAGAAGAAGAAAGUAACAAAAUACGACGAUUACUGAAGUCAAUGUCAGACAAGGAAAAGGAGAUCACAGAGUAUCAAACAAAUGUUGGCAAUAUAAAGCAGUAUGCAUCAGAGUUUCAAAACUUCCUUGCUUUGAAACACAUAGAAAAAGAUGUUGUAGAAGAAGAAAAGUACGUCCAAUCAUUGGUCAAAAGUGAUGGUGCGAAUCAAAUUGAGUUUUCGUGCAAGAUUAAUCCCUCCUUGCAAGGUUUGAUAUCUACCAUGCAGACAUUUGGAGAUGUCGUUGUGACAGCAGAUCCAUGUAAAAUAUCAAUCCAGAAACAGAAGGAUAAACAAGCUCAGAUGAUGGUAGCUGUUACACCUAUGACUAUCGAUAACCUGAGACCUACAUUGCAACAUACCCUAGAUCCAAAACUGUCGUUUGUAACUGGGUGUACGUUUCUGCCUGAUUAUAGAAUGAUAAUUGCAUGCUAUGCAAGAAGAAUAUUAAGAGUUUUAAAGGCAGAUGGUUCAUUAGAUUUUGAUAUUGAAAGUAUCAAGGAUGUAUUAGAUGUGGUGUACAUAGGAGAUAAUUCAGUUGCUGUGACUUCUGGUUAUGA
rnacentral:lncRNA from 1 species